CUUCAGGGUCCUGGUGAGCAGGAGAAUGCACUUGGCCAACGCUGGGGGAAAUGAGGACACAAAGAACCCAAUUCAAGCAAAGAAGAGGGAAACUGCUUUGAAGAAUGCAGCAAAUUAUUUUGUAUACUACAUCCAAGGCUACUGAACCAGAAGAAUAAGGACAUACUGCUUGUGAGUUCAGCUGGAUCAAUAGCUCAGCCCUGGGAUUUGCUCGUCGGCUGGAUACUGAAUGAAAAGCACUAAGCUGCCAGUUUGUACCAUGGAUAUAGAAGACCUCAAUGCAGCCAAGAGACAUUUUUCAUAAGACAGAAAGCAGCUUACCUUUAAAAAUGUUUAGAUAUAUGAGCACACAACAUACAGAGACUAUGAAACGUACUUGCAGAUAUUGUACAAAAUUCUCCCUUCCUGCCCUAUUACUCAAGAGAAAGAAUGUGUAAACACACACACACACACACACACACACACACACACCCCAUAUAUAGAAAUAUAUAUUUGUAGAAUGCCUUUUUUCCAAAGACCUCAAAGCACUCCACAAUAUGAUCAAAUCCUUUCCUGCGUCUCUGUGAGUCAAGAGUAAGUGUUUGUGAUUACCAAUUGAUAUUUUUUCCUGCUGGGGCACAUCACAUAGCUGGCCAAGCAAGUUCAGGAGGAAGCUUUCUCAAUCUCUCACUUUCUCAACUGCACUCUUCACCAUCGUAGGUUGUCUGGUCGCAUAAUGUGUGUGAAAUUUGAUGAGAUAUCAAACCAGAGUUCUGAUAAGGAAUUGUUUUUGUCUGCUUUUCUGCCAGUCCUAGUUUUUUUCCUCAAUAAGCAUCUGUAUUGUUCCUGGUAUCAUAGCAGCAAGAUAAGCAAUCAGAUCUAUUAGAUGGGAGGAAAUCAGGGAGAAGAUAUUAGAUCCAGGCUUUCAUGCUUAGCUUGAAAUCUCUGCAGUUCUGUCACUGUUGUGAACAUAAAAGACUCUCUGAAGUGGUAUUUAGAAACUUCCCUGAGAAAAAGGAUAAUACAAACAAAGCAAUUAAAAAAUGGAAAAAUAAAAGUCAUCCAGCUAAAAAAUAGAUCUGCACCGAGGCAAUAAAAAGUUUC
ensembl:lncRNA